rnacentral:lncRNA from 1 species
AGUCAGUAGAACUGGUUUGUAUAGUUACCCACACUAAGCUUGGACCACAGCCUGAGACAGACAUCUGCACCAAUAUAAGAAACUAUUUGGAAUAAGACUUCCAUUUUGAGUAGGGGUAGAGUAAACUUGACGCUUCCAAGACCUCCCUGGGAACUGACAUCCUACUUAGCUAGAAAAAAACAUAGGCUUAAUUAAAAUUGUUCCUGGAAGAGAAAAAAGUGGAAACAUGGUACCCAAGCUGAAAGGACAGGUGGCGGUGGCGGCACUUAAGCAAAGAA